UCGAUGAUAAUUAUUAUUCUAUUUUAUUAUAAAUCAAUUUAACAUUACUUUGCAUACAAAUCAGUACGACCGAUACGCAAUAUGCCUUGAAUAUUUAUUUUCUCUUAUAAUACAUGCAAAGUUAUAUUUAUUGAAAUAAUUCCGAUUAUUAAAAAUAAGAGGCGCAAACGCGAUCAGCGAAACGCGCACGGGCGAUCUCGCGAUGGCCGACCAACAAUGCUAUUCAUUUCAUUUCAAAUAAUUUAUUUUGUUAAAUUACGGAAAAUACCGUGACAUAAUAAUAACGGUCGUACAUCGGGGAUCGCAUACGCGAAUCGCGAGCCGCAAUCCCGGGGGAAAAAGCCACCGCGGCACCGGGCGUGACUCGCGUGACGCGAAGGACCAUGAUUGGCAGAACGAAAAGAAACUCGAAGGAGUGGGGGAAAACGGUCCCGCAACUUCGAGGUGGAAGCUUCGAGCUUCAGUGGGUUUCGAGGAGCGAGCCAGAGCGGAUGGCUAGAGAGAUAUAUCAUCCCGCGAGGAUGACGAGUUUCGUUUAACAACCGCGAACGGGCGAGAAAUAAAAUAUCUCGUAUCAACCCGGAAUAAAAAAUCGCGCUGUGAACGAAAUUAACCGUUUCCUUAGUAACGCGAAUCGAAAACUGUAUAAACCAUUUUACGACUUUGUUUUAGUAAUCUUCGCCCACGGUGCCCGAGGGCGAUCGACCGUGUCGGCAUUUCCUUUGAAAGUAAUACGCGUUUGAAACUCGCGUACAUAAAAGCGCCGUGCGUGCGCGAGUGAUGUGUGACGACGCAUCCCGUUAGAUUAAGUGCGUGAACGCGUGAACGACUGUGUGAACGACCGCGUAAAUACAAUUGUACGAACGACACUGCGAACGCGGCAGUCCGCAUGUAGUUUAACGCAAUAAACUGUGUGACUUGUUUCGAACAUUGAGUUUCAUCUUUCACUUAAGCGACCAACAAUUUUCCCACCCCACGUACAAGCACGCAUUAGCGAGCGCGACGAUUCCGCAAACAACCACCAGUUGCGAGGGCGUAAAUCACCGAGCAUCGGCUGUACGGAGGCUUCGAACAACCGAGGGACUUGGACCCGAAAUUCAGGCGGACGACCGGAUACAGCGCCGCAGGGAACCAGGUCGAACGACACCGCAAUUGAGGGCGUAUACAGCGAGAUGCUAAAGGGCGAUUCAACCAGCGUAAACCUCGACAAAAAUAUGUCCGACGCAAAAGUUGAAACGACCAUGUUGGAAAUAAAAAGAGAAAACGACACCGAACAACCAACCAGGGCGGAUACGCCAACGCCGAGAACGAGAGAAAGAGACAGCGACGCAGAACCCUCAACGCCGCAGAGGGCCGUCACGCCAAGGUACGUGACAACGCAGCAAAGGAAAGGCGAAGACGAGGCAGACCAGCAACCUGUCAACCAAACGCGCGUCAGCAAUGACAAAUAAGAUAAGAAACCGGCGAUACAAAACUAGAAUAAUUACCUUACUUUAUUUUACUUUACAUUUCGUGUAGAUAAUCAUUCUUUAAAUCACAUAUAUUAUUUUCGUUAUCUUAUUUUCUUAUAUUUACAUUUUAUGUUUUAUUUUAUUUUAUUUCGGUGAUAACAAUUAUUCUAUUUUAUUAUAAAUCAAUUUAACAUUACUUUGCAUAUAAAUCAGAACGACCGAUACGCAAUAUGCUUUGAACAUUUAUUUUCUCUCAUAAUACAUGCAAAGUUACAUUUAUUGAAAUAAUUUCAAUUAUUAAAAAUAAGAGGCGCAAACGCGAUCAGCGAAACGCGCACGGGCGAUCUCGCGAUGGCCGACCAACAAUGCUAUUCAUUUCAUUUCAAAUAAUUUAUUUCGUUAAAUUACGGAAAUUACCAUGACGUAAUGAUAACGGUCGUGCACCGGGGAUCGCAUACGCGAACCGCGAGCUGCAAUCCCGGGGAAAAAGCCACCGCGGCACCGGGCGUGACUCGCGUGACGCGAAGGACCACGAUUGGCCGAACGAAAAGAAACUCGAAGGAGUGGGGGAAAACAGUCCCGCAACUUCGAGGUGGAAGCUUCGAGCUUCAGCGGGUUUCGAGAAGCGAGCCAGAGCGGAUGGCUAGAGAGAUAUAUCAUCCCGCGAGGAUGACGAGUUUCGUUUAACAACCGCGAACGGGCGAGAAAUAAAAUAUCUCGUAUCAACCCGGAAUAAAAAAUCGCGCUGAACGAAAUUAACCGUUUCGCUAGUGACGCAAAUCGAAAACUUUACAAAUUAUUUUACGACUUUGUUUUGGACAAACUUCGCCCACGGUGCCCAAGGGCGAUCGACCGUGCCGGCAUUUUCUUUAAAAGUAUUACGCGUUUGAAACUCGCGUAUGUAAAAACGCCGUGCGUGCGCGAGUGAUGUGUGACGACGCAUCCCGUUAGAUUAAGUGCGUGAACGCGUGAACGACUGUGUGAACGACCGCGUAAAUACAAUUGUACGAACGACACUGCGAACGCGGCAGUCCGCAUGUAGUUUAACGCAAUAAACUGUGUGACUUGUUUCGAA
rnacentral:lncRNA from 13 species